rnacentral:rRNA from 1 species
GAGUUUGAUCCUGGGCUCAGAACGUACGCUGGCGGCACGCCUAAUACAUGCAAGUCGAACGAAGUAGCAAUACUUAGUGGCAGACGGGUGAAUAACAUGUGGGUAUCUUCCCUUUGGUGAGGAAUAACACGAGGGAACUUGUGCUAAUACCUCAUAAGUCUUUACGGAGAAAGCUUUAUGCGCCAAUGGAUGAGCCCGCACUUGAUUAGUUUGUUGGUAGGGUAAUGGCCUACCAAGACUGUGAUCAAUAGCUGAUUUGAGAGGAUGAUCAGCCACAUUGGGACUGAGACACGGCCCAAACUCCUACGGGAGGCAGCAGUAGGGAAUCUUGCACAAUGGAGGAAACUCUGAUGCAGCGAUGCCGCGUGAGUGAAGAAGGCCUUUGGGUUGUAAAGCUCUUUCGUCGGGGAAGAAAAUGACUGUACCCGAAUAAGAAGGUCCGGCUAACUUCGUGCCAGCAGCCGCGGUAAUACGAAGGGACCUAGCGUAGUUCGGAAUUACUGGGCUUAAAGAGUUCGUAGGUGGUUAAAAAAGUUGGUUGUGAAAUCCCAGAGCUUAACUCUGGAACUGCAAUCAAAACUUUUUAGCUAGGGUAUGAUAGAGGAAAGCAGAAUUUCUAGUGUAGAGGUGAAAUUCGUAGAUAUUAGAAAGAAUACCGAUUGCGAAGGCAGCUUUCUGGAUCAUUACUGACACUGAGGAACGAAAGCAUGGGUAGCGAAGAGGAUUAGAUACCCUCGUAGUCCAUGCCGUAAACGAUGUGUGUUAGACGUUGGAAAUUUAUUUUCAGUGUCGCAGCGAAAGCAAUAAACACACCGCCUGGGGAGUACGACCGCAAGGUUAAAACUCAAAUGAAUUGACGGGGACCCGCACAAGUAGUGGAGCAUGUGGUUUAAUUCGAAGAUACGCGCAGAACCUUACCAACACUUGACAUGUUCGUCGCGACUCUAGGAGAUUAGAGUUUUCGGUUCGGCCGGACGAAACACAGGUGCUGCAUGGCUGUCGUCAGCUCGUGUCGUGAGAUGUUGGGUUAAGUCCCGCAACGAGCGCAACCCUCACUUUUAGUUGCCAUCAUUUAGUUGGGCACUCUGAAAGAACUGCCAGUGAUAAGCUGGAGGAAGGUGGGGAUGACGUCAAGUCCUCAUGGCCCUUAUGUGUUGGGCUACACACGUGCUACAAUGGUAUCUACAACAGGAAGCAAGAUGGCGACAUCAAGCAAAUCCCGAAAAGAUACCUCAGUUCGGAUUGCACUCUGCAACCCGAGUGCAUGAAGCUGGAAUUACUAGUAAUCGUGGAUCAGCGUGCCACGGUGAAUGCGUUCCCGGGUCUUGUACACACCGCCCGUCACACCAUGGGAGUUGGUUCUACCUUAAGGCAAGGUUUAAUACCCUUGACCACGGUAUAGUCAGCGACUGGAGUGAAGUCGUAACAAGGUAGCCGUAGGGGGACCUGCGGCUGGAUCACCUCCUUUCU